rnacentral:rRNA from 1 species
CCUACGGGUGGCCGCAGUGAGGAAUAUUGGUCAAUGGCCGGAAGGCUGAACCAGCCAUGCCGCGUGAAGGUCAGUGCCCUAUGGGCGUUAACCUUCUUUUGUGCUGGAGCACUAAUGGUCACGUGUGGCCAGACGAGCGUACCGUACGAAUAAGCAUCGGCUAACUCCGUGACAGCAGCCGCGGUAAUACGGGGGGUGCAAGCGGUAUCCUGAUUUUUUGGGUUUAAAGGGUGCGGAAGCUGUUGAGGAAUGUAGCCGUGAAAAUGCCACCGCUCAACGGGGUGAAUUGCCUUUGAUACUGCCUUGCUGGAAUGCGGAUGCCGUGGGAGGAAUAUGUGGUGUAGCGGUGAAAGGCAUAGAUAUCACACAGAACACCGAUUGCGAAGGCAUCUCACGAAUCCGCGAUUGACGCUGAUGCACGAAAGCGUGGGUAUCAAACAGGAUUAGAUACCCCAGUAGUC